rnacentral:misc_RNA from 1 species
GAUGAAGAACGCAGCGAAAUGCGAUAAGUAAUGCGAAUUGCAGAAUUCAGUGAAUCAUCGAAUCUUUGAACGCACAUUGCGCCCGCUAGUAUUCUGGCGGGCAUGCCUGUCUGAGCGUCAUUUCAACCCUCGCCCCCGGCUUUUGCUGGGAGCGGUGUUGGGGAUCGGCCGCCCGUCACUGGGAGGCCGGCCCCGAAAUAGAGUGGCGACCACGCCGUGUGCUCCUCUGCGUAGUAGUAAAUCACCUCGCAGGCGGACAGCGGUGCGGCCUGCCGUAAAACCCCCAACUCUUUCUGGUUGACCUCAGAUCAGGUAGGAAUACCCGCCGAACUUAAGCAUAUCAAUAAGCGGAGGA